GGUGCAAAAGUUAUUGCGGUUUUUGCCAUUAAAAGUAAUGGCAAAAACCGCAAUAACUUUUGCACCC
rnacentral:miRNA from 1 species